UUUUGCCACUCCCCUCGACUGGAUUUGUACUGUAUUCGUUUUGCAAUGAAGGUUUGUUUAAAACAUUUGGUCUUGUUAUUCUGUGAAAUAAAGUCUGUUGCUAAUAAUGGAAGCGCAGGCUUGGGCGAUGAUGGCACAAUUCCACAUUGAUCUGUACUACAGCUGAUCUGGAUCCACAUGCUUGCUUGGCUGUGUUCGAACCGGUGACCGGUGGUUCCCGAAACCAGGAGCACCAUAACACAGUUUGGAUUCCUGCGUCUGAAAUGGCCUCAUGCCAUUAAUCUGGUGUUUGGUAAGGAACAAGAUUGGGAACCACAGAUGUAGACCAUCUGAUACAACACAUAUUUUUAGAUGACCUUUGAAUAUGUAAUUCUGUAAUUAAGUAAUUUUUUGUGAUGAUCCUACAUAAUGUAAAGA